rnacentral:lncRNA from 1 species
UCUCUAUUAUAAGGUAUUUUUUAGUUUGAAAUUAAUAGGAAACUAUGGAAUUAAAAGCUUCUAAUGCUAAGAGCUGUCAUUAGGAAGCGCAGUGACAAGGAUUCAAUAUACUGUGAGGUGCCACUGUACAAUAUGUGGGAUUUUUCAUGUCUCCUUGCCAUUGAGCUGUAGGUGACAACUGCAGGUAGAGCUUAGCUAGAAUGAAGCUGACACAUGCAAGCACUUGGCCCCUCUUGUUCCUGCUCCAUCACUCAGGCUGAGCAAGCAUCAGAUAGCUAACACGCCACUCAUAGGUACAUCUAGAGGGCUGGGUGGUGUGAUGGAAAGGACGUGGGCUUUGAAAUUAGAGACCUGAGUUUAAAUCCUCACUGUACCACCCACCAGCUAUAUAAGCAGAUGAUCUUACCCUAACCCCCCUCAGUUUCCACAUCUGACUCAAAUGAGGUUAAAAUAACUAUCUCGAAGGGUGGUUAGAGGUUUCAAGUGAGACAGUGUAUGGGAAGUACCUAGUAUAGUACCUGGCAUAGAGUGAGCAUCCCCAAAAUGAUAGCUAUUAGGAUUAUUAUUGUUGCUGUUGUUGUUAUUAUUAUUAUAAGAAGUAGCAUUAUGAAAUAGUAUUAUGGGGCUCAAAUUUAGCAGUCUACCAGGACUGGCCAGGGAGGGGCUUGUCACUGAGAUCAUUCAGGAUGAGGUGUGCAGCACUUCUAAAACACUGCAGAUGGUGAUGCUGUGGACUGCCCUGGGAACUGAAACUCCCUCCCGCCGAUGCUGCCCAAACUCCCACUGGCCUCAUCUGUUUACAAGCCCUGUAUUCUUGUAAAUUCUCCUGAAAAUGGAUAAAACCAAAGUGGUAGGAGAUAAGCACUUCUAGCAAAAGAUGUUACCUCCUCCUUGCAGAUUCAAGAACAUGAAGAAUUUUACUAAAAUGAGGGGAAGAUGGGUGCAGAGGAAGGGGAAAGUCAGUGAUUGGGAACCUGUGUUACGACUAUUGGGAAAGAGUCUAAGUUGGUGAAGGGUCUGAGAUUACCACACUUUCAAGAUGACAAGUCGGCCUGCCACACAUUCAAGUAUGCUGGCAGAAGGCUCAAGAGUCCUGGAUCCUGGAUGAAUGAGCUAUGACGAUGUGGAUGGCUGGAUGUCAGGAGAAGAUGAUGUCAGUGUUUGGGGAUCCUCAAUAGUUGAAGGUUUUUGUUUUGUUUUGUUUUGUUUUUGCCAAAAACUUUUGGAAGAGCAUUGUAAUAGAAUGUUAUUGUCUCUUUCUUUUUAACUCAUUAAAGUGUUGCCACAGAUGUUGUAAAAAAAAAAAAAAAAAAAAAAAAAAAAAAGAGUCCUGGAUCAGAGCCAAAGGAUUUUACCACUCAUAGAACAGCAAGCAGCCUAAGCAUGAUGUUGGUGUCAUUUCCCCUUGUCCCCAAGUCAAGCAGGUGAUGCAGAUGGGCUCGAAUGGAUGCCUGCAGAAGCAGUGGACUGCAUUCCAGGAAAGGAAUACUGAGCUUAGGGAACCUGAAUCUUUUAUAAGAGGCAGAAAGCAAAGCUGCCCUUUGUUCCAGAGUUGAGAACAAAAGGCAGUCAGUGCCUCUGCUGACAAAAUGUAUAGAAAUAUGAGACACAGAGAGAACUGUCGCCCAACAGAGGAACUGUCCCGCAGACCAACCCAGUUGAUAUUGGUCAUCUAAACAUAUGAGUUAUCAAGCCCAUUAUUGCUCCCAUCAAAUACCACCACUGAGCUAAUAUUUCCAUACAAGGAAAUGAUGAUAAGAUAAUCAUUUUGAAAUGACCAGAAAAACUUCUCUCCAAGGUGACAUUGAUUGCCUAACACUUCAUGAACACUAUCAUUUAAACAAGAUUCUAACCAACUGAAGUGACUUCUAACUCAUAAUUUAUUUACUCUCUUUGUUGUCUUAAAAUGGGUGAAUCUGCUAAAUAUCUUUUUGAAAUCUAGAUCCUCACUAGAUUGAAAUGUGAUCUAAGCGCCAGCAACAUUGAUUUCACCUGGAAGCUUGUGAGAACUAGCUGAAUAUCAGACUCCGCCCCAGAACUACUAUGUCAUAAUCUGCAUCUUAGCAAGAUCCCCAGGUAAUUUGUAGGCAUAUUAAAAUUUUAAAAAAUGGAUUUAGAUUCUAGAGCAGAGGUUGGCAAACUUUUUCUGUGUAAGGCCAAGUAAUAAUUAUUUUAGCCUUUGCAGGGACACUUCUGCAAUUACUCAACUCUGCUAUUGUACCUGGAAAGCAGCCAAAGACAAUAGGUAAACAAAUUGGCAUGGUAAGAUUUGCCCAAGGGCCAUAGUUUGCAGAUCUCUGCUCUGAAGUAUUGCUUUGAAUUAGAAAUUAUAUUUCAAACAGAAAUAAGUGUAACAAACUUGUUUUUAAUAACUUGGCUUUGAGUGAACCCACGCUGGCUUCUAAACAUCACACCAUGUUCCUUUGUAACUCCUUACAACCCACUAUUUAAUGACCCAUUCUUUAAUUUUUCUUUAGACUGAUAUCAAAAUUACUAGUUAAUAGUGUGUACAAUCCACUUUCUUCCUCUUUUUGGUAUUUGCAGUGAUGUUUGCACAUUCCCAGCAGCUGUUGAUUCUGCUCCUUCCCUUUAUGAUUUGUCAAAGAUAGUGAUUCAGGAAUCUCAAAUGUCAGUUUUCUCAGGAUCCUAUGAUGUAAUUUGUCUGGGCCAGCAGAUAGUCCGCCUAUCUUGGACCUGCUUUCCUUUGUCAAUAUUUACUUUACCAUUUCUAAUCUAAAGUUGGUUCUCCUUUACAAGGAUAAUGGAAGCAAAGGGAUGGAGAUCAGUGCAGAGGGGGAAAUUAAAGAUGCUGAAUAGCAGACAGAAUGUGUGGGGUUUAGGGCUCUAAUAUCUAGAGCUAUAUAAAAGAGGACAGAAAAAUAUAAGAACACAAAAGUGGAAUAAUAUGUACAUUGCUGAUUAGAACUAAUAUAGUGAUAUAUGUUAAAGAUGAAAAACAGCAUUCAAACUCAUGACUUCUCUUUUUUGUUUUUAACUGAAAAAGCAAACCUUCAGGCAAUGUAAACUCAUAGAACUGUAUUACAUUAAUUUGGCUUUUUCUAUCCAGGUUAAGAGUGACAAAAACAAUUUGAAAUUUAAUUAGAGCCCAGGGCAACAGAGAUGUGGGAACUUUCUAUCAUUUUCCAAAAGAUUUUCAUGUAAACAUCUUCUAAGUUUUAGAUUUAACAGGCAAUAAAUAAUUUUCUAAAGAAGUUUCUUAAAAAUGCUUAUUUGCAGAGUAUAUAUUAGACCAAGGAGGAAGCAAAAGGAAACUAAAUCAAAAUUUAUUUUUUGAAGACUAGAGUAUAAAGACAUAAGCUUUCACAGUGAAAGUAAGACCUAACAGAGCUCACUUUGGCCUGCAUGCCUCCACCAUGGGCACACAGCUACAAUCUGAGGUUGCAGUUUUAUUUUCCCUGAGAACACAUGGAGCAGCCAAUUAUUAGUAGCACUGCAAACAUUACACACAAGAUACACAGCUCUCUUAAAAUGUCAAGAGGAUCAUUUCACAUUAUCCAAUGGUCAGCCAAAGUUCCUAUGGCCUGAAUAUUAUACAUAGGAGCUUGUAGUAUUUCUUGCUUUAGAAUCAUGGUUCAGUUGAUAUAAAACACCACCAUCAUAAAAAUAGCCAAUAUUUAUUGAGGUAUAUUAUGUACUAGGAACUGUGCUAAGUACAUUACAAACAUUAUCUAAUUUAAAAUUCUGGUAAGUAAAUUGAUUAUCCUAAUUUUAUAGGUGAGAAUAGAAAAGAGGCUUAUAGAGACUAACCUAAGGAAGUGUCAGAAGAUAGAACUCAACAAAAGGAAUAAAAACAAAGUUGAGAGAUCAGGAGAUGGUCUGAGUUGUUAAAAAGAAAAAAAUGUGCAAAGGAGGAAGCAGAAAAUUUAAAAGAAAAAGAUAUUUAAGAAACAGAUUGUAGAAAAUUAAUGUAAAAUAUAUAAUAUUAAUUAAAAUUAGAGUCAACGAUUACAUAUAUAACUUGCCACUGGUGUUGGAAUACAUGAAAAUAAGGCACUAAGUAACUCUCUUAGGUCACUAGAGUAACAUGGAUGUUUUUUCCCACUGGUUUAAAAGAUUUAAUGUGUAUCUGCCAUUCUGCUCAUUGAUGUCUGUAACACAACAGUGCCUGGCAAAUAUUAGGCAUGCAAUAAUUUUUUUUGCUGAAUGAAAGAACAAAUGAAUAGAUGAAUGUGUGUCCACAAAUGUUUCUCUCAUGGAGCAGCAUAUCCAUUUGAUAAGAAACACACACACUUUCUGAAAUGUUUUAAAACCCUUGUGUUUGUAAUAAUAAUGAGACUAGUUGACAUUUAUUGAAUGCCUACUGUGUAUAUGUCAGCAACUGUUCUAUGCUCUUUAUAUUUACUAACUCAUUUGGUCCUCACAACAAACCUAUGAGAAAGCUGCCACUACAAUUCUCAUUUUACAGAGGAGAAAAUUGAGGUACAUAGACAAGGAAUUGUUCAGAAUUCCCAAGCAGUAAGUGGCAGAAUGGGAAGCAAGUCAUGCAGUCUGGUUCCAGAAUCCAAGAUCUCUACCAUUGUGUUGAUAUACUGGAUAGGAGUUCUUUAAGAAUUUAGAGAAAUCAAAGAAUUCUAGCUGAAAGAGACAUUAGGGAUAAUGUGUUACCUCACUUUACAAACUGAAAAGUUGAUGCCCAAGGAGGCAAUGUCUCUCACUCUUGGGUGCAGAGUUAGUGGAAACACAAGGAGUAGCAUUUUAGUGUCUCAAAUUCCCUGCCCAGUUCUUUAUUUCUGAUACCACACUGCCUCCUACAAACCACUUGAGUAGAACAAAGCUCACAUAUGGAAGAUCUGAAAGCAGUUACUCAGCACUAUAUUAUUUACCAUACAUAUAAAGCAACAAAACAAAACAAAACAAAAACACAUAGAUGAUAAAAUUAGAACAGAUUAGAGGAAGGUUUUUAAAAGAGAUUAAAUCUUGAAAUAGGCACUUUCAUCCCUACCCUAAAAGGCCCAUGAAUUACCAACAAGACUAUGGGAGAACAUUUUUGAAAAAGCAAGGCAGAGACGUGGAAUAUGGAGGAGGGGGAUAGUAUGAAGUUCAAUGAGGACAGAGAAAGGAGGCAAUGGAAAGUGACUUGAGGGAGAUUUGGGGAAGGGGCUUCUUAUGUAGGCUCCUGGAUGUUAAAAUAAACUUCUAAAAUAAUCAAAAACUGAUUCUCUUUUAUAUAAGACACUCAAAAUAAUGGUUUAAUCAAAAUCACUAUUCAGAUUUAUAACAGAACUUUAACAUAAACAAACAAAAAACCCAGACCAUGUCUACACAUGUGAAAUGAAUAGGUUUGGCAUAGCUCAUCUAUUCCUUUUGGACGUGUCUAAAUGAUGGCACACACUGCUGUUAGAUCUAGCUGUGACGAUCAAUACUGAGUAUAAGAUGGACACAAUGAAUGGAGACAUCUGCACUACACUUGCCUUGUUUCAUAUUUCAAUGGUCUGAUUUACUCUGGUUUUUAUAAUAUUCCUUAGCCAGAGCCAUUCCUGCAGCUUAGAAAACCAGCUCUGAACUUUGUGACUCAGAGAGGCUUCAGUCAGGAGAAGGAGGUGGAUUAACCAAUGGUCCUAAGAAAGGUUUGCACCUCACAUGAGCAUCAUUGGUCCACAGAUCCUCCUGCCACCCCCAACACAAAGAGGCAGUAGGAUCUGGGUAUGCAGUUGCUUCCUUCCCUAUCUACCUCUCACCAUUGACACCAAUUUUAAACAGGUUUCUCCCUAAUAACAUGUUUAUUUAUUAUUUUUUCUCCAAGCCUAAUCUACCAGAUAAGGCAUUUAUUUUUUCUCAUAUCCUCACUUCUACUGACAUGUUUUCCUGCCUUUUUAUAGUUUCAUUUGUCGUUUUUUUUUUUUUAAUUUUACUUUAAGUUCCAGGAUACAUGUGCGGGAUGUGCAGGUUUGUUACAUAGGUAUACAUGUGUCAUGGUGGUCUGCUGCACCUAUCAACCCAUCAUCUAGGUUUUAAGCUCCGCAUGCAUUAGAUAUUUGUCCUAAUGCUCUCCCUCCCCUUGUCCCCCACCCCGACAGGUCCCGGUGUGUGAUAACAUGUUUAUUUUUAUUAAAUAUCAGUAGUUGCUUCUUUCCCUAUCUACCUCUCACCAAUGACACCAAUUUUAAACAGGUUUCUCCUUAAUAAUAUGUUUAUUUUUAUUAAAUAUCAGGGGGUAGGAGAAGAAAAACAUAUAUGUGUGAUUGGGGUCUUAACAACCUAGAGAUGCAUCCUAGACUCUGAAUCUCUCUAAGGCAGUGCUCUCCAAAGCCUGAUGGAACUCUCAAGGGCAGAAGGAAAGGCAAUAAUAGCAAAAGGAAGAAGACUGUCUUAUCAGUUUAUAAGAACUGGUCAAUGGACUUUUUUUGGUAUAAAAAGUUCAACAACUAAUAGAACAAGCAAAUCACUUCGCCAUAAUCAAAUUUCACCUUAUGACCCAGGCUCUAGCAAAUGCAGGCUCUAGUAAAAAACAAAGACCCAGGCUCUAGCAAAAAUGCAAAGGCUCUAGCACAAAACAAAAAACAAAAUAUAUAUAUACACAUAUACAUAUAUAUGUGUGUGUGUGUAUAUAUAUAUAUGGAGAGAGAGAGAGAGAGAGAGAGAGAGUGAUUAGACUUUUAGACUUUUAACCUGGACAUUUCUAUGGUGAAUUAUUAAAAACAGUACUGAGUCAUUUUUAGUUACAUAGGUAUAUACAGCUAAUUUUCCUUAAUGUUUCAGUAGAGACUUAUCCCAAUAAAAUUACUUCUAGACCUUAGCCAUUGGGUGUUGUUACUAAGGAAUUUUUAAUAAGAAAUAGCCAAGACUUUAUAUUAGAAAUGGAUGUACAUAUAUUCAUAUCAGACAUUUAUUUUUAAAUAUCUUCUGCUAAUCAUUUCAAUAUCUUCAGAAUUUAAAAGUGCCAGAGAGCAAGAAGCAAUCAUCUGGUAAAUCACAUCAAUGGAUUUACCUAAGUCUUUAAGGAAAUUGAAAAUCUAUGUUAACAUAAUUUUUCUAGUUCCCCAGUAGAGGGCAACUUCUACACACUUUGACAGUUUAAAAAAAAAUCUAUGCACAGCACAUUAGUAUGAAUCACUGCAUGUUUAAAAUAAAACAAUAUAACUUAUGCUUAUGAAUGGAUUUUCACUAACAGUAGCUUAUAAAAUGUCAUGGAAUUUUAAAUUAGUAGUUAGGAAUUGAAUAUAUGUAAUGAGUAAUUAGCAUUUUAUGAUUAAUAUAAGUAUAAUUGCAGGAACUUUAAAAGUAGCAACCAUUAGGUCACUAAGAUAGAAUUAUCAGGAAUUUAAAUAAAAGAGGGAAAUGAUCACAGUAUUGUUCUUUAGUAACCAUUUGGAUUGAAUUUCAAUAUAACUGAGUUCCAAAUAUAGCUAAUAUGUUGCAUAAAAUAUUUUAUUAAGAAUAGGCAAAACCAAACCCCCCCAAAACCAAAAAUGGCCAUACACAAACAUUUGAAAGUAUAAUUUAGAGUUUUUGAUAUUCUGUAUUUUGAACUAACUUGAAUCAGUGUUAGUGUUUUAAUAACAUCAGACAUAAGAAUGUAACCAUGCACACAUAUGUUUAUACAUAAAUAGGAUAAAAUUUCACCAUAAUACAUCUCAUUAUUACAUAGUAUUCUAUAUAGUAGUUGGACACAAUAUAAUAUGUCCUCAUUCAUUCAUUCAAUGCUAAUUUACUGAGCACUUAUUAUGUGCCAGAUACAAUUCCAGAAGUCAAGGAUACAGUGUGACAAAAGUUCUCUGCCUUCUUGGGGCUUACAUGUUCUAUUAAAAAGUAAUGUAUGGUAAAGCCUUCUAAAAAGACAAAUCUAUGAGAUGGAUGCUAACCUUAUAACACUAGUUUUUUAUUUAAAAAUUUGGCUUUGUUUUUAAUACAGAAAAUAUUAUAAGGAACAAUGAAAUGGUUCAUAAUCUUAAAACACAAAUAACCCUUGUCGGCCUUAAACAAAGUUAUACAUGAAUCUCAUUAGAAAAUUUUUAGUUGUAUAGAAAAGUACAAAGAAAAAUUGAAAAUUUCUAGCUCCCUCUCAACUCAGAAACAUUAGCAAUUUCUUGUAAUUCCUUACAGAAAAAAAACAGUAUCCACCCAUUCCUCUACCCACCUACUCAUCCAUCUAGCCUAGCGUUCUUAACUUAUUCAAAUUUAUACAGUUUUCUUAAGAUAAUCAUACUAUACACAGUAUUCUGUACAUAGCUUUAUCUUUUCCCACUUCUCUAUAUUUCCUGGAGCUCUUUCCAUAAAAGAAUAUAUAAGCACACCUCAUUCUUUUAUUUGACUGAUUUUAUUUUUUAAUGUAGAAGUAUUUUAUCUAUCUCUAAAUAUCUCACAAUUCUAGUUUAAAAAGUGAUUAUACAGUUUUAUCUGAAAUUUAUAAGAGCUGUUGUAGAUAGUGUUAAAAGUAUAAAGACUUAGAAAUCAUGACCUCCAAGAGGAAGCCUAAAAAAUUACUUUUAAUUUAUUAGAGAACAGCAAAUACAAGAAAAAAAUAAGAAGAAAUAAAUAUCUGUUUUGGACAAAAACCUUACCAAUAGUUCUAUUAGAUCACACACAACGUAACAAUCUUUUAAGAAUGUCUUUAUAUGUGAAUUAGAAAUACUAGUGAAUUUUUUUACCAGUAAAUUUUAAUAAUAGUACUAUUAUUAAAAUUUACAAUCAUCAUUUUUUAGAGUUUCACUUAAAUUUUUCAAUAAAGCAUGCAAUAAUUACUUUAGAGCAUUCUAUUUAUAAUACUACUUAAACCAUAUAUUUGCUUCAGGGCCAUAUUUGAUAUUCAAAUGUGAUAAGAAUUCUUAAAUUUAUAAAAAUAUUAUGCAAAAUAAAAUACAGGGCACUAGGUGGUGCUGUGGGACCUUCCAGAUAAACUAACACUGCAAAGGUAUGCAUUUGACAAAUUAGUUGUGUGGUUGAUUCUAUAUAUUUAAAUAUACAUUAAAUAUUUUUUAUAGAUAAAACAAUGCACAUAAAUAAGAAGAGUAAUAUAAUGAAAAAGCAAAGUUUUGAUGGAUGACCUCUUUGAGGAAGAUACAACCCCGUUUCAUAAUCUCAUACCCUAACUCCUGUGUUAAGCUAUUAAAAAAUCUUUAUAUAAUAAAUGUCAUUUUUGAGGCAUGCUUGUCAAUCAACUAUUAUUUUCAUUUACCUUUAAAGUUAUUUUUUCAUAUGACCAAGAAUUUAAAAGAUGAAUAAUUAUACAUCCUUGUCAAACAAUUUUCUAUUAGGUGAUUUCUUACAACACAGUACUGUAAUCUUCUUGGGUUCUGUUUUUCUAUUUUCCCCAGACAUGACUGCUUGCUAUAGAGCUACUAAUUCAAAUACUGACAGCCACCAGACUGGCAAGGUGAAUGUGCAGAUUGGGCCACAAGUAAAAUAAUAGGAAGUGAGGGCAACUUAGGAAACCCAGAAUAUAGAAAGCACAUCUGUGGUCUGCAUGUGGCCUGUGGGCCACUCAUCUGUGACCUCUUAAGUCCAACAUGUUCCUAACCAUUUAUCUAUGAGUGACACAUCUCAAAGAUAACCUACAAAUUUCAGUUCAAAUGAAGGAGUGUAAAUGCUUCUCAAUUGUCCUUCUACAAUGUUUAAUCACUUAUGUAUGUCCUUCCUUAAAGAACAGAAAAUAUUAAUGAUGUGGGAGAUAAACUAGUGGUCAAGAGCAUUACUCGUCCAUGAUGAGCUACUGAUUUAAAGAGAAGUACAGAUUUAGUAGUCUUUUUAUGGGCAUGGUCUUCCUCUUCCC